GAUGAACGCUGGCGGCGUGCCUAAUACAUGCAAGUCGAGCGAACAGACGAGGAGCUUGCUCCUUUGACGUUAGCGGCGGACGGGUGAGUAACACGUGGGUAACCUACCUAUAAGACUGGGAUAACUUCGGGAAACCGGAGCUAAUACCGGAUAAUAUUUCGAACCGCAUGGUUCGAUAGUGAAAGAUGGCUCUGCUAUCACUUAUAGAUGGACCUGCGCCGUAUUAGCUAGUUGGUAAGGUAACGGCUUACCAAGGCAACGAUACGUAGCCGACCUGAGAGGGUGAUCGGCCACACUGGAACUGAGACACGGUCCAGACUCCUACGGGAGGCAGCAGUAGGGAAUCUUCCGCAAUGGGCGAAAGCCUGACGGAGCAACGCCGCGUGAGUGAUGAAGGUCUUCGGAUCGUAAAACUCUGUUAUUAGGGAAGAACAAACGUGUAAGUAACUGUGCACGUCUUGACGGUACCUAAUCAGAAAGCCACGGCUAACUACGCG
rnacentral:rRNA from 1 species